AAACCAUGGUGUGGGCGAUAUCUCAACAAGUCCUUGUACCUCUCCCACGCAUCAUACAUGCUCUCAUCAUCAAAGUGCACAAAAGAAGAAAUAUCGGUACACAUGUUU
rfam:Ricinus communis cultivar Hale ctg_1100012359726, whole genome shotgun sequence.